CAAUCCUUGACCGCCCUGUGGUGGCAGUGUGGUUAGCUGGUUGUCCGUCACCGUAUACCAACCAACUGGCUACCCGCAAAGCCACUAUGGGACG
rnacentral:pre_miRNA from 1 species